GGGUUGUGAGGUUAAGCGACUAAGCGUACACGGUGGAUGCCCUGGCAGUCAGAGGCGAUGAAGGACGUGCUAAUCUGCGAUAAGCGUCGGUGAGGUGAUAUGAACCGUUAUAACCGGCGAUUUCCGAAUGGGGAAACCCAGUGUGUUUCGACACACUAUCAUUAACUGAAUCCAUAGGUUAAUGAGGCGAACCGGGGGAACUGAAACAUCUAAGUACCCCGAGGAAAAGAAAUCAACCGAGAUUCUCCCAGUAGCGGCGAGCGAACGGGGAGGAGCCCAGAGCCUGAAUCAGUGUGUGUGUUAGUGGAAGCGUCUGGAAAGGCGUGCGAUACAGGGUGACAGCCCCGUACACAAAAAUGCACAUAUUGUGAGCUCGAUGAGUAGGGCGGGACACGUGGUAUCCUGUCUGAAUAUGGGGGGACCAUCCUCCAAGGCUAAAUACUCCUGACUGACCGAUAGUGAACCAGUACCGUGAGGGAAAGGCGAAAAGAACCCCGGCGAGGGGAGUGAAAAAGAACCUGAAACCGUGUACGUACAAGCAGUGGGAGCCUCUUAAUGGGGUGACUGCGUACCUUUUGUAUAAUGGGUCAGCGACUUAUAUUCUGUAGCAAGGUUAACCGAAUAGGGGAGCCGAAGGGAAACCGAGUCUUAACUGGGCGUUAAGUUGCAGGGUAUAGACCCGAAACCCGGUGAUCUAGCCAUGGGCAGGUUGAAGGUUGGGUAACACUAACUGGAGGACCGAACCGACUAAUGUUGAAAAAUUAGCGGAUGACUUGUGGCUGGGGGUGAAAGGCCAAUCAAACCGGGAGAUAGCUGGUUCUCCCCGAAAGCUAUUUAGGUAGCGCCUCGUGAAUUCAUCUCCGGGGGUAGAGCACUGUUUCGGCAAGGGGGUCAUCCCGACUUACCAACCCGAUGCAAACUGCGAAUACCGGAGAAUGUUAUCACGGGAGACACACGGCGGGUGCUAACGUCCGUCGUGAAGAGGGAAACAACCCAGACCGCCAGCUAAGGUCCCAAAGUCAUGGUUAAGUGGGAAACGAUGUGGGAAGGCCCAGACAGCCAGGAUGUUGGCUUAGAAGCAGCCAUCAUUUAAAGAAAGCGUAAUAGCUCACUGGUCGAGUCGGCCUGCGCGGAAGAUGUAACGGGGCUAAACCAUGCACCGAAGCUGCGGCAGCGACGCUUAUGCGUUGUUGGGUAGGGGAGCGUUCUGUAAGCCUGUGAAGGUGUGCUGUGAGGCAUGCUGGAGGUAUCAGAAGUGCGAAUGCUGACAUAAGUAACGAUAAAGCGGGUGAAAAGCCCGCUCGCCGGAAGACCAAGGGUUCCUGUCCAACGUUAAUCGGGGCAGGGUGAGUCGACCCCUAAGGCGAGGCCGAAAGGCGUAGUCGAUGGGAAACAGGUUAAUAUUCCUGUACUUGGUGUUACUGCGAAGGGGGGACGGAGAAGGCUAUGUUGGCCGGGCGACGGUUGUCCCGGUUUAAGCGUGUAGGCUGAUUUUCCAGGCAAAUCCGGAAAAUCAAGGCUGAGGCGUGAUGACGAGGCACUACGGUGCUGAAGCAACAAAUGCCCUGCUUCCAGGAAAAGCCUCUAAGCAUCAGGUAACAUCAAAUCGUACCCCAAACCGACACAGGUGGUCAGGUAGAGAAUACCAAGGCGCUUGAGAGAACUCGGGUGAAGGAACUAGGCAAAAUGGUGCCGUAACUUCGGGAGAAGGCACGCUGAUAUGUAGGUGAAGUCCCUCGCGG
rnacentral:rRNA from 1 species